rnacentral:rRNA from 1 species
UGGGCAGUGUAGAAGCCGUCUGUGCCGGAGCAAACGCGAUAAGUUCACCGCCUGGGGAGUACGGUCGCAAGGCUAAAACCCAAAGGAAUUGACGGGGGCCCGCACAAGCAGCGGAGCGUGUGGUUUAAUUCGAUGCAACGCGAAGAACCUUACCUGGGCUUGACAUGUACGUAGUAGUGAAGGGAAACCGGAACGAGCCUUCGGGCAGCGUAGACAGGUGCUGCAUGGCUGUCGUCAGCUCGUGUCGUGAGAUGUUGGGUUAAGUCCCGCAACGAGCGCAACCCGUGUUGCUAGUUACAAGUGUCUAGCGAGACUGCCGGUAACAAGCCGGAGGAAGGUGCGGAUGAUGUCAAGUCAGCAUGGCCUAUAUGUCCAGGGCUACACACACGCUACAAUGGCUGGUACAAAGAGAAGCGAAAGGGAGACCUGAAGCGAAUCUCAUCAAAGCCAGUCAUAGUUCGGAUUGCAGGCUGCAACUCGCCUGCAUGAAGUCGGAGUUGCUAGUAACCGCAGGUCAGCAAUACUGCGGUGAAUACGUUCCCGGGCCUUGUACACAC